rnacentral:lncRNA from 1 species
GACAAUCUCCACUUAAUUACCGUGAUUAGUGGAACAGAGUUGGUUUUGUUCCUAAUGCCUGGAUACACAAUACCUGGGGUCUGCUUUCCUUUUAGGAAAGGAAGCAGGGAAAAAUCUUAAAGCAAGCACAGGGUCGACAAGAUGGCUCAGCAGUUAAGAGCAGAGCCUGCUCUUUCCAAAGACUCUCGUCUCCUUCAGUUCCCAGCACCCACACCAGGCGGCUUACAACCACCCAUACCUACAGCUCCAGGGUAUCCAAUAGUCCCUUCUGGCCUCUGUGGGCACAGCACUCAUGUGCUCAACUCCUUCCCACCCCCAUACACAUAUUUUUUAAAAUUUUUAUUUAUUUAUUUAUUCAAUAUAUAUCCCAGUAUCAACCCCCCCCACAUAAUUUAAAAUAAACGAUAAAAUCUGGGGUGGGGGGAAGCAAGCCCUUUAUUCUCCUAGAAUAGAUGUUUAUGAGAAACAGGAAGGAAGAAAAUGAA